rnacentral:rRNA from 1 species
AUUGAACGCUGGCGGCAGGCUUAACACAUGCAAGUCGAGCGGAGAUGAGGUGCUUGCACCUUAUCUUAGCGGCGGACGGGUGAGUAAUGCUUAGGAAUCUGCCUAUUAGUGGGGGACAACAUUCCGAAAGGAAUGCUAAUACCGCAUACGUCCUACGGGAGAAAGCAGGGGAUCUUCGGACCUCGCGCUAAUAGAUGAGCCUAAGUCGGAUUAGCUAGUUGGUGGGGUAAAGGCCUACCAAGGCGACGAUCUGUAGCGGGUCUGAGAGGAUGAUCCGCCACACUGGGACUGAGACACGGCCCAGACUCCUACGGGAGGCAGCAGUGGGGAAUAUUGGACAAUGGGGGGAACCCUGAUCCAGCCAUGCCGCGUGUGUGAAGAAGGCCUUAUGGUUGUAAAGCACUUUAAGCGAGGAGGAGGCUACUGAGACUAAUACUCUUGGAUAGUGGACGUUACUCGCAGAAUAAGCACCGGCUAACUCUGUGCCAGCCGCCGCAGUAAUAC